rnacentral:rRNA from 1 species
AUUGAACGCUGGCGGCAGGCCUAACACAUGCAAGUCGAACGAGUGGCGGACGGGUGAGUAAUGUCUGGGAAACUGCCUGAUGGAGGGGGAUAACUACUGGAAACGGUAGCUAAUACCGCAUACCAUCAGAUGUGCCCAGAUGGGUUUAGCUUGUUGGUGGGGUAAAGUCUCACCAAGGCGACGAUCCCUAGCUGGUCUGAGAGGGUGACGAGCCACACUUGAACUGAGACGCGGUCCAGACGCCUACGGUAGGCAGCAGUGGGGAAUAUUGCACAAGGGGCGCAAGCCUGAUGCAGCCAUGCCGCGUGUGUGAAGAAGGCCUUCGGGUUGUAAAGCACUUUCAGCGGGGAAGCGUUACCCGCAGAAGAAGCACCGGCUAACUCCGUGCCAGCAGCCGCGGUAAUUC